CAAUAGAGCGCUCUGGUGCGCCAAAACGUUACGCUCUUUUUGCACCUGCAAUAUUUCAAGGAGGAUUUCAGCAGUGUUACUAUUUCUUUGGCAAAAUUCAAUUUUUGAGGUGAAAAAUUGCAACCACGUACCCCGGACAGUCUCUCUCAAUUCUUCGAUGUCAGCGUCCGAAUUAGCGUCGACUUCGUCCGAAAAUUCGACGUCCGUUUGCGAGUCAUCGGGACGUGACUGAAUGAAUUGCUGCACAAGAACCUGCGAGCGUCUCUUCAGCUCACGAUUUUGCUUGUACCACUGCGAUCAAAAUACGACGUUACAUGAAUCGUGGUUUAAUAAUCGUGAUCUAAUUUCUUAGAAAGUCGCGUCGCCGCAGAUUUUUUCAUUUUUAAGUUUCAGACUUGAAGACAGAUUGGAAAGAAUCCAAAACUUGACACCAUCGAAAACCAAGAUAUUUUUCGAGUUCCCUUGAACUCUGAACUCGUUUUGGUAUAAGUCGUUGAGGUCUUUUCGAAUAAAAUAAAAAUUAAACGGUUGGUCAUUCAA